UGCGGAAGGUCCCGAUUAGCCUGUGAAGAGCAGAGAGGGCAUGGCGGUUUCUCGUGAAGAGGCCCGAGGGAAGAGCAAGGCUGACAUCCCAGGAGGCUGUGACUGGCUGGAAAGGAGAUGAAUGGGCUGGAGAGAGGGAGGGCUUGCUCAGGCUCCGGGCCGGGCUUGGAGAAGGUGGCCCAGGACCAGGGAUGGUCCUGGCCAGGGUAGCAUGUCCAGGAGCGGACAAAGGCUGAGGCGGGCAGCCACAGUGUGUGAGAGGUGGAGGGGCCUUGGAAUCUUCUGGUGCUGACCUGGAUUCAUAGAAGAGGAAGCGAGGCGGAGGAAGUGGGAAGGGACACAGCUAAUUAAUGGCAAAUCUGGGCAAGCAUGAACAGAAUCUUCUGGAGGGCUUGCUAAGACACAAAUGACUUGGAGCCACCUACCCAUGGUUGUGCUGGCAACUGUUUACCGACCGGAUGGGGAGAGGAAAGGCAGUCCUGACUUGUAGCUCUUGUCCAUUUCCAUGGUGUCAAUACUCCCUCUGCGGCCAAUUUCAAGCUUCCAAAGUGAAGUCGCUGAACUCGGCGGUGGGAGAGAUGUGCACCGUCUGCUCUUGGGGACCAGUAAGAGCCAGCUCCAGCUCACCACUGGCCCCACCCCUGGGGUCUGAUUCAGAAGAUGGGCGGGCCCGGAAUGUGUGUUUCUCCCAAGCUGCCAGG